GUGAUACUCCCUCCGUUCCAAAAUACUUGACUUCCAUUUGUCCAAAAUUAGAUGUACCUAUAUACUAAAACAUGUCUAGAUACAUCUAUAUUUUUACAAAUGGAAGGCAUGUAUUGUGGAAUGAAGGGAGUAUGAA
rfam:Triticum aestivum genome assembly, contig: Triticum_aestivum_CS42_TGACv1_scaffold_199847_3AL